rnacentral:rRNA from 1 species
AUUGAACGCUGGCGGCAUGCCUUACACAUGCAAGUCGAACGGCAGCACGGGUGCUUGCACCUGGUGGCGAGUGGCGAACGGGUGAGUAAUACAUCGGAACGUACCUUAUCGUGGGGGAUAACGCAGCGAAAGCUGUGCUAAUACCGCAUACGCCCUGAGGGGGAAAGCGGGGGAUCGAAAGACCUCGCGCGAUUAGAGCGGCCGAUGCCUGAUUAGCUUGUUGGUGGGGUAAAAGCCCACCAAGGCGACGAUCAGUAGCUGGUCUGAGAGGGCGAUCAGCCACACGGGGACUGAGACACGGCCCAGACUCCUACGGGAGGCAGCAGUGGGGAAUUUUGGACAAUGGGGGCAACCCUGAUCCAGCAAUGCCGCGUGAGUGAAGAAGGCCUUCGGGUUGUAAAGCUCUUUUGUCAGGGAAGAAACACCGGCUCUAACACAGUCCGGGAAUGACGGUACCUGAAGAAUAAGCACCGGCUAACUACGUGCCAGCAGCCGCCGUAA